rnacentral:rRNA from 1 species
GUCCACGCUGUAAACGAUGGAUGCUAGCCGUCAGCAAGCAUGCUUGUUGGUGGCGCAGCUAACGCAUUAAGCAUCCCGCCUGGGGAGUACGGCCGCAAGGUUAAAACUCAAAGGAAUUGACGGGGGCCCGCACAAGCGGUGGAGCAUGUGGUUUAAUUCGACGCAACGCGAAGAACCUUACCAGCCCUUGACAUGGCCGGACGGUUUCCAGAGAUGGAUUCCUCCUAGCAAUAGGUCGGCACACAGGUGCUGCAUGGCUGUCGU